rnacentral:rRNA from 1 species
UCUGGCGGCCUUAGCGCGGUGGUCCCACCUGACCCCAUGCCGAACUCAGAAGUGAAACGCCGUAGCGCCGAUGGUAGUGUGGGGUCUCCCCAUGCGAGAGUAGGGAACUGCC